UGGCUCUAUUUCUUGGAGGGUUGUGGAUUCAGCCUGCUGCACCUCCCCUUAGACGAACCUAGAACAGAGAGGCUGGGCUUCAUCUCACACUGGAGAGGGGUUCAAGAAAGGUGCCUCACCAGGGCAGCCCUUGCCUCACAUUA
ensembl:snoRNA